rnacentral:sRNA from 1 species
AUUAGAACCAAGGAAAACAACAU